GAUGAACGCUGGCGGCGUGCCUAAUACAUGCAAGUCGAGCGAACAGACGAGGAGCUUGCUCCUCUGACGUUAGCGGCGGACGGGUGAGUAACACGUGGAUAACCUACCUAUAAGACUGGGAUAACUUCGGGAAACCGGAGCUAAUACCGGAUAAUAUAUUGAACCGCAUGGUUCAAUAGUGAAAGACGGUUUUGCUGUCACUUAUAGAUGGAUCCGCGCCGCAUUAGCUAGUUGGUAAGGUAACGGCUUACCAAGGCAACGAUGCGUAGCCGACCUGAGAGGGUGAUCGGCCACACUGGAACGGAGACACGGUCCAGACUCCUACGGGAGGCAGCAGUAGGGAAUCUUCCGCAAUGGGCGAAAGCCUGACGGAGCAACGCCGCGUGAGUGAUGAAGGUCUUCGGAUCGUAAAACUCUGUUAUUAGGUAAGAACAAAUGUGUAAGUAACUAUGCACGUCUUGACGGUACCUAAUCAGAAAGCCACGGCUAACUACGUG
rnacentral:rRNA from 1 species